GAUGAACGCUGGCGGCGUGCCUAAUACAUGCAAGUAGAACGCUGAAGGAAGGAGCUUGCUCUUUCCGGAUGAGUUGCGAACGGGUGAGUAACGCGUAGGUAACCUGCCUGGUAGCGGGGGAUAACUAUUGGAAACGAUAGCUAAUACCGCAUAACAGUAGAUGUUGCAUGAUAUCUACUUAAAAGGUGCAAUUGCACCACUACCAGAUGGACCUGCGUUGUAUUAGCUAGUCGGUGAGGUAACGGCUCACCAAGGCGACGAUACAUAGCCGACCUGAGAGGGUGCUCGGCCACACUGGGACUGAGACACGGCCCAGACUCCUACGGGAGGCAGCAGUAGGGAAUCUUCGGCAAUGGACGGAAGUCUGACCGAGCAACGCCGCGUGAGUGAAGAAGGUUUUCGGAUCGUAAAGCUCUGUUGUAAGAGAAGAACGAGUGUGAGAGUGGAAAGUUCACACUGUGACGGUAUCUUACCAGAAAGGGACGGCUAACUACGUG
rnacentral:rRNA from 1 species